rnacentral:tRNA from 1 species
GUAGCUCGUUGGGCUCAUAACCCAAAGGUCGUCGGUUCAAAUCCGGCCCCCGCAACCA